CGGACAGAUGGGAGCUUGCUCCCUGAUGUUAGCGGCGGACGGGUGAGUAACACGUGGGUAACCUGCCUGUAAGACUGGGAUAACUCCGGGAAACCGGGGCUAAUACCGGAUGGUUGUCUGAACCGCAUGGUUCAGACAUAAAAGGUGGCUUCGGCUACCACUUACAGAUGGACCCGCGGCGCAUUAGCUAGUUGGUGAGGUAACGGCUCACCAAGGCGACGAUGCGUAGCCGACCUGAGAGGGUGAUCGGCCACACUGGGACUGAGACACGGCCCAGACUCCUACGGGAGGCAGCAGUAGGGAAUCUUCCGCAAUGGACGAAAGUCUGACGGAGCAACGCCGCGUGAGUGAUGAAGGUUUUCGGAUCGUAAAGCUCUGUUGUUAGGGAAGAACAAGUGCCGUUCAAAUAGGGCGGCACCUUGACGGUACCUAACCAGAAAGCCACGGCUAACUACGUGCCAGCAGCCGCGGUAAUACGUAGGUGGCAAGCGUUGUCCGGAAUUAUUGGGCGUAAAGGGCUCGCAGGCGGUUUCUUAAGUCUGAUGUGAAAGCCCCCGGCUCAACCGGGGAGGGUCAUUGGAAACUGGGGAACUUGAGUGCAGAAGAGGAGAGUGGAAUUCCACGUGUAGCGGUGAAAUGCGUAGAGAUGUGGAGGAACACCAGUGGCGAAGGCGACUCUCUGGUCUGUAACUGACGCUGAGGAGCGAAAGCGUGGGGAGCGAACAGGAUUAGAUACCCUGGUAGUCCACGCCGUAAACGAUGAGUGCUAAGUGUUAGGGGGUUUCCGCCCCUUAGUGCUG
rnacentral:rRNA from 1 species